rnacentral:lncRNA from 1 species
CAAGGAUUCUCUUUUGGUUUUAUUACAUGAGUCUCUAAAUGAAUAUAUAUUAACAAAAUUAGGACUUAUUUAUAUUGUGAUUCAGCCAUACACAGGAAACAGUUCCAACUCUGGAUGCACAAAAAAAUAAUUAGGUGAUUUUGGAGGACUUAUCUCUGUAUUGGUGAUCACAGCUGCAUUCGUCACACAUUUAAUAAAUGUCAGUUAACGUAAUAAUACACAUCAGUUCAGCAGAAUGGGGCUGUAUUUGAAUAGCUGAUUUUCACUUGCCUGCAUAUGAGUGCUGAUAUUCAAAUGUUCUGGUUUUUAAGUUAUCCACAUGCUAAAAUUAGAGAAGGGAGAGUAAAGAAAGACAUUCUUAACAUAAUACAAAAUGUUAAGCCAUAAAAAAUUCAUUUUAUGAAUACAUAAAAAUGUUGUACUUCUAUACCAAAAACUGUAGAAACAAAUACAAAAGAAAUUACAGAAGGUGGUAAAAGAAAGCAUUUGAGAAACUUAUAUCAUGCAAUGCAUUAUAAUAUACUUAAAAUAUAAAGAGUUUUCAUAAAUUAAGAAAAAGAUGUUGUCAAUAGAAAAAAUAGGCAAAGAUAUAAAAAGAUAAUCUACAAAAGGACAUGCAUGACAAUCACAUGAAAACCUUAUUAGGAGGUAAUAACAUCAGAGCAAUGGGAUACUAUUCUCACCUACAUAUGCAGUGAUUGAAAUAAAGGUAAUGCUCAUACUGGUGAGGAUGAGAAAGGCAAUGCCUUCAUCCAUGACUUUUUUGAAGGUCACUGGUGGACAGUUAAGUUCUAUAAAAUUUAUAAAAUUAAAUCUUUAUAAAAUUACAAUUUUAUUUACUAAAUAAAAGUAACAAAGGCAUACCAAGAUUCAUCAUUAUAGAUGUUUGUUAUUUGGUUGUCAAUAGUAUAAUAAGUUGGAAACAACAUAAAUAUACAAACACAGGGAGUCAGUUAAAUAAAUUUUGGUGCAUGAACUUAACAGACUACUUUUAGCUUUUUGGUAUCUUAUGUAAUAGAAUAACCACAUGAAAAUAUAGUCUUGAUAAUCUUAACCAAAAAAGGAAAGAUAAAAAUUAUAUGUGAAAUAUGCUACUAAUUUGUUGUUGUUGUUUCUUAAAAAUGGGGAUGGGGUAGGGCUUUAAAUUGUUGAAUUAUUUCUAAGUUUCUGUCUACUUUAUAGGCAUUAUUGUAUGUGUGUAAGAUUUCAAAAUAGGUAUUGAUAUUCUCACUUUACAAAUAAG